AUAGGUAUAUAUCUACAUCCACAUAUAGAUGUUCCAUACAUCUAUAUCUAUCUAUUUAGAUAUCUAUGC
rnacentral:tRNA from 1 species